GAUGAACGCUAGCGGCAGGCCUAACACAUGCAAGUCGAGGGGUAGCAGGAUUAAGCUUGCUUAAUUGCUGACGACCGGCGCACGGGUGCGUAACGCGUAUGCAACCUACCAUAUACUGGGGUAUAGCCCGGACAAAUUCGGAAUAAUCCCCCAUAGUACUAAUGAAUCGCAUGGUAUAUUAGUUAAUGCAUUGAGGUAUAAGAUGGGCAUGCGUCCUAUUGGCUAGAUGGUGAGGUAACGGCUCACCAUGGACAAGAUAGGUAGGGGGCCUGAGAGGGUGGUCCCCCACACUGGUACUGAGACACGGACCAGACGCCUACGGGAGGCAGCAGUGAGGAAUAUUGGUCAAUGGGCGCAAGCCUGAACCAGCCAUGCCGCGUGCAGGAAGAAUGCCCUAUGGGUUGUAAACUGCUUUUAUUUGGGAAUAAACCUCUUUACGUGUAGAGAGCUGAAGGUACCAAAUGAAUAAGCACCGGCUAACUCCGUGCCAGCAGCCGCGGUAA
rnacentral:rRNA from 1 species